UUAGUGGCGGACGGGUGAGUAACACGUUGGAACCUGCCCCAAAGUAAGGGAUAAGCCACCGAAAGGUGGUCUAAUACCUUAUAGUAUCCAUCUCGUAUGGAUUAAAGCUUUAUGCGCUUUGGGAGGGGCCUGCGUUUGAUUAGCUAGUUGGUGAGGUAAAAGCUCACCAAGGCUACGAUCAAUAGCUGGUUUGAGAGGAUGACCAGCCACACUGGGACUGAGAUACGGCCCAGACUCCUACGGGAGGCAGCAGUAAGGAAUCUUCCACAAUGGGGGCAACCCUGAUGGAGCAAUACCGCGUGCAGGAUGAAGCGUUUCGGCGUGUAAACUGCUUUUAUCACCGAAGAUUAUGACUGUAGGUGAAGAAUAAGGACCGGCUAACUACGUGCCAGCAGCCGCGGUAAUACGUAGGGUCCAAGCGUUAUCCGGAAUUACUGGGCGUAAAGCGUCUGUAGGCGGCUUAAUAAGUCGGGUGCGAAAUCUUGCGGCUCAACCGUAUAGACUGUGCUCGAAACUAUUUAGCUAGAGGUAGGUAGAGGCAAGUGGAAUUUCUGGUGUAGGAGUGACAUCCGUAGAUAUCAGAAGGAACACCAAUGGCGAAGGCAGCUUGCUGGGCCUUACCUGACGCUCAGAGACGAAAGCGUGGGGAGCGAACGGGAUUAGAUACCCCGGUAGUCCACGCCGUAAACGAUGAUCACUAGUAGUAUGAAGAUUCGACCCUUUGUGC
rnacentral:rRNA from 1 species